rnacentral:lncRNA from 1 species
UGGGAAAAGCCCAUCGGGGACCUGGUGGCCCCGUGGGGGUGGCACCAAUGGUCCCCAAGCACAGGAUCACCUUCAUUUCCUGCAGGACUGCAUCCCCUCACCUGCUCCUCCAAGGACAAGCUCCCCUCAGCCCCGCCAGUCACUGGAUCUCCUCAGAAAACUCUGAGACAAGCUUCCCUCAUCCUCCCCAGCACAGGCUCCCCUCAGCCCCCCAAACACGGGAUCUCCAAGACUGGAUCCCUUCAGCUCCCUCCGGCCAAGCCCCCUCCAGCCCCUCCUCAGCGGGCACAGCCGGGGGAGCCGGGGUGCAGCAGCAGCCUCUGUUCCCCCGCCCCUCUCGCCCUGCCUGCUGCGUGCUGCAGCCCGCCUUCCCCCCGCC